AAAUAAAAAUCUUUCUGUGCUAAAUAAAAUACAGAAAUCAAAUUUCUGCUAGCAAUAGGUAACAGUCCCUAAGUAUCCUGAGCAUAUCUAACAUACCUUCUGAAGGUCUGUCACCCUUCAUGUUCUUUAUGCUUCCCAUGUAUGUAGGACAGUUCCUCUUCCAAUGGCCGUUCAUGAUGCAAUGGAAACACUUUUCCUUGGAAUU
rnacentral:lncRNA from 1 species